rnacentral:rRNA from 1 species
UACGUAGGUGGCAAGCGUUUGUCCGGAUUUACUGGGCGUAAAGAGCGCGCAGGCGGUCGUGCAAGUCGCGUGUGAAAGCCCCCGGCUCAACUGGGGAGGGUCACGCGAUACUGCUCGACUUGAAGGCAGGAGAGGGAAGUGGAAUUCCCGGUGUAGUGGUGAAAUGCGUAGAUAUCGGGAGGAACACCAGUGGCGAAGGCGACUUCCUGGCCUGUUCUUGACGCUGAGGCGCGAAAGCUAGGGUAGCAAACGGG